CUGACAAAACUGUGUUCCUUCUUUAUGGUCAAUCUUGGAUGCAGCUACAGACCCCCAGAGACCAUUGGCAGGCCCUUGGCAGGCCCUUCAUGCACAUGGGCGUUUGUGGCUCUGAGGUCCAAUUUUGGUUGAAAAGUGAAUGUCUGUGUCCCAGGCAGAGGGUUUCUCACAAUUUGAGGGGCCAUGGGACAGGAGCUGCACCCAGGCAUGGAGAAGCGAUUGGAUGUUUAUGGUCUGCGGAAUAUGAAAGAGAUGGCCUGCUAGACAGAGUGUGCUGGGAAAGGCAAAUCUGUGACAAGACAGGAGCAAAAUACCUGGAAUUUUUCGAUUUUGAUAUUCAGAAAACAUCUUUGCCUAGGCCUAAGUCUCCUAACCUAGUGUUCAUGAAUAAGUGAUAGGGAGACUUCUUCCAGGAACCCAUCUUGACACAGGUGCUCUGUGGUAGGCUGAGGAAUGGCCCCCAAAGGUGACAGCACCCUGAAUCCUGAAACCUGAAUGUUACCAUAUGUGGCACAAAGGACUUUGCAGGUGUGAUUAAGUUGAAGAGCUUGAGAUGGGGCCAUGAUCCUGGGUUACCUGAUUGGGCCUUGGAAGCCAUCACAAGGGUCCUUAUAAGAGAGAAGCAGAGGGAGAUGUGACUGCAGAGGGAAGGUGAUGUGAGGACGGAAGCUAAGGUUUUUGUGAUGUGCUCCAGUCAAGGGAUAUAGGUGGCCAUCAGAAGCCAAAAAUGCAAGGGCAUUAACGGAUUCUUCCUUCAGAGCCUUAGGAGGGAGAGCUGUCCUUCCCACAUUUUCAUUUCAGCUGACUGAGGCUGAUGUUAGACUUCUGGCCCCCAGAACUAUAAGAGGAGAAAUCUGCAUUGUUUAAGCCAGGAUGUUCAUGGUCAUCUGUUACAGCAGCCACAGGAGACUCAUACAUGCCCUUUGCCUCCCAGGCUGCUGCAUCGGGUGCUCUUCUCUGAUUUGACCUUGCUUCUCAGGACCUGCAGUUUGGCCUUGAAAUGCCAGUGGUCAUUGCAGAGUUUCAAAGCCAGCUCCAGGGACUGGAGGAUUUUCCCGCCAGCUUGUUUCUGGGUUUGGCCAGAGGAAAUGGAGAAGGACAGAGGAGAAAAGAGUAUGUAUGUGAGUGAAUGAGUGUGUGUGUGUGUGUGUGUGUGUGUGUGUGU